CCUACGGGUGGCAGCAGUGAGGAAUAUUGGUCAAUGGGCGGAAGCCUGAACCAGCCAAGUAGCGUGCAGGAUGACGGCCCUACGGGUUGUAAACUGCUUUUAUACGGGAAUAACGCGCCUUACGUGUAGGGGUUUGCAUGUACCGUAUGAAUAAGGACCGGCUAAUUCCGUGCCAGCAGCCGCGGUAAUAAGGAAGGUCCGGACGUUUUCCGGAUUUAUUGGGUUUAAAGGGAGCGUAGGCCGCAUGUCAAGCGUGCUGUGAAAUGGUCGGGCUCAACCCGGGCCUUGCAGCGCGAACUGGCGUGCUUGAGUCCGCGGAAAGCAGGCGGAAUGCGUGGUGUAGCGGUGAAAUGCUUAGAUAUGACGAAGAACCCCGAUUGCGAAGGCAGCUUGCUGCAGCGGAACUGACGCUGAUGCUCGAAAGCGCGGGUAUCGAACAGGAUUAGAUACCCGUGUAGUC
rnacentral:rRNA from 1 species